rnacentral:rRNA from 1 species
AACGAACGCUGGCGGCAUGCCUAACACAUGCAAGUCGAACGAAGCCUUCGGGCUUAGUGGCGCACGGGUGCGUAACGCGUGGGAAUCUGCCCUUGGGUUCGGAAUAACAGUUAGAAAUGACUGCUAAUACCGAAUGAUGUCUUCGGACCAAAGAUUUAUCGCCCAAGGAUGAGCCCGCGUCGGAUUAGCUAGUUGGUGAGGUAAAGGCUCACCAAGGCGACGAUCCGUAGCUGGUCUGAGAGGAUGAUCAGCCACACUGGGACUGAGACACGGCCCAGACUCCUACGGGAGGCAGCAGUGGGGAAUAUUGGACAAUGGGCGAAAGCCUGAUCCAGCAAUGCCGCGUGAGUGAUGAAGGCCUUAGGGUUGUAAAGCUCUUUACCCGGGAUGAUAAUGACAGUACCGGGAGAAUAAGCCCCGGCUAACUCCGUGCCAGCAGCCGCGGUAA